rnacentral:rRNA from 1 species
CCUACGGGCGGCAGCAGUGGGGAAUAUUGGACAAUGGGGGGAACCCUGAUCCAGCCAUGCCGCGUGUGUGAAGAAGGCCCUCGGGUUGUAAAGCACUUUCAGUGAGGAAGAACGCCUGGUGGUUAAUACCCAUCAGGAAAGACAUCACUCACAGAAGAAGCACCGGCUAACUCCGUGCCAGCAGCCGCGGUAAUACGGAGGGUGCGAGCGUUAAUCGGAAUUACUGGGCGUAAAGCGCGCGUAGGUGGCUUGAUAAGCCGGUUGUGAAAGCCCCGGGCUCAACCUGGGAACGGCAUCCGGAACUGUCAAGCUAGAGUGCAGGAGAGGAAGGUAGAAUUGCCGGUGUAGCGGUGAAAUGCGUAGAGAUCGGGAGGAAUACCAGUGGCGAAGGCGGCCUUCUGGACUGACACUGACACUGAGGUGCGAAAGCGUGGGUAGCAAACAGGAUUAGAUACCCUAGUAGUC